GACGAACGCUGGCGGCGUGCCUAAUACAUGCAAGUCGAGCGAAUCGACGGGAGCUUGCUCCCUGAGAUUAGCGGCGGACGGGUGAGUAACACGUGGGCAACCUGCCUAUAAGACUGGGAUAACUUCGGGAAACCGGAGCUAAUACCGGAUACGUUCUUUUCUCGCAUGAGAGAAGAUGGAAAGACGGUUUACGCUGUCACUUAUAGAUGGGCCCGCGGCGCAUUAGCUAGUUGGUGAGGUAAUGGCUCACCAAGGCGACGAUGCGUAGCCGACCUGAGAGGGUGAUCGGCCACACUGGGACUGAGACACGGCCCAGACUCCUACGGGAGGCAGCAGUAGGGAAUCUUCCGCAAUGGACGAAAGUCUGACGGAGCAACGCCGCGUGAACGAAGAAGGCCUUCGGGUCGUAAAGUUCUGUUGUUAGGGAAGAACAAGUACCAGAGUAACUG
rnacentral:rRNA from 2 species